CCGAAUCAUCCUUUAUGCACAAUUAUUAAUUAAACGAAAAGAAGAAGAAUAAGAAUUAUACCCUUGAAGAUUCGAGCUUUCUCAGGUACUAGUUCACCUCCAAAUCUUUUCGCGUUCAACUUAAAUUCACCGAGUUUGGUUCCUUCCUUUGAUCAAUGUUAGCCACCCAAAUGUUUGGCCUCUAGAUAUGAUCCACCAAGGAAGAAAAAAGAUUCAAGAAGAUGGAUAUUUGGGAAAACCCUAGUUUUUUUUAUCUCUCAUAGAAAAGGUGUACUCUCCUAAUUAUUGGAAAUACGUAUGUUGUGAAAAGUCAACCACACACACCCAUAAUAAG
rnacentral:lncRNA from 1 species